rnacentral:rRNA from 1 species
CAGUAGCCACGGGAAUACGGAGGGUGCAAGCGUUAAUCGGAAUUACUGGGCGUAAAGCGUGCGUAGGCGGUUCGUUAAGUCUGUUGUGAAAGCCCCGGGCUCAACCUGGGAAUGGCAAUGGAUACUGGCGAGCUAGAGUGUGUCAGAGGAUGGUGGAAUUCCCGGUGUAGCGGUGAAAUGCGUAGAGAUCGGGAGGAACAUCAGUGGCGAAGGCGGCCAUCUGGGACAACACUGACGCUGAGGCACGAAGGCGUGGGGAGCAAACAGGAUUAGAUACCCCUGUAGUCCCUGUCUCUUAUAC